CCUGCCCUGCCCAGCCCAGUCAGUUGGCCGGGAAGGAGCAGCAUGGAAGGGCGGAGCGAGACAGAGACGGAAACAGUGGCAGGAGUGCGCAGCCUGUAGACGUACAAGUGCCGAGUGGGGCGGCAAGGCUCGUCUCGCGACUUGCCAGUGACCAGUGCGACUCAGUGCCACCCGCGUGCACGCUGCCGAACGGCAAAACGGAUACUAAGGAUUUCCACCCCACUGCUUUCUUUGAGACGGGGCCCUGUCGCCGUGCCUCGUCGGCAUGGCGUCCCUCCGGGCGUCCCUCAGGGCGUCCCUCAGGGCCCUGCGCCUGCCGGCCGCCGCGGCCGCCGCCCGGGUUACGCCAUGAGCGCCACGAGCGCCAUGAGCACUCGCUGAGGCUGCCGCCAGUCCGCCCGGCCGCCCGCCCGGCCGCCACUUCCUCAGGAGUGUGACAGACCGGCCAGACACCGAAGACCACGAUGCGGCCGCCGCCGCCAGUCGCCGCCCCCGCCAUGACCCCCUCCUCCGUCGUCAUCGUCCUGCUGCUGGUGCUGGCCGCGUGCGUGUCAGGGGGGCCUGUGGCGCGGCAGAUCGCCAGGAACGUCGUCCCCGCCGGUAGCCAGACGUUCCAGGCGUUCGCGGCGGAGGGGGUGGUGACGGCGGAGGGGCUGGGGGCGGCGGAGGGGGCAGGCCGGGCGCCGCCCCUCGACACCGCUACCGCCACCGCCGACGAGCCCUUCGCCACCGAGGACGACUGGGACGUGACGGGGCUGACGGGGGCCGGGCUGCCCGGCGAGCGCUACCAGGUCGUCGAGGGGGACGUCGUCGUCGGCGACUCCAACGACGUGGACGUGGUGCCGGCGGUGCAGAGCGCCGUGCUGCGGCCACUCAACCGCACGCACGUGCUGCCCCUCCCCGGCGUCGUGUCGGCCCCGGCGGACGCGGCCUCGCCGUCGGACGCGCAGCUGGACGUGGAGACGGCGCGCCAGUUCGAGCUGCUCCGCGUCAACUACACCAGCCUGCUGGCCGACCUGGAGGGCACCGCCUGGGCCGAGGACAUGCGCGCGGGCCGAGGGCUGCCGCGCAUCGUGGACAAGGCGCUGUGGCUCUUCGACCUGAAGCAGGUCGUGCAGGAGAUCGAGACGAGCGUCAUGUCCAAGGUGUCGUGCACGGCGUGCAAAGCAGGUGUUGGUCUUAUCCAGCAUUACAUCCGUGGAGGCAAAAGCAGAGAUGACAUCAAUAAAAUUGUCUACCAAUUUUGUGUUAGUUUAAAAAUUCAGUCGCCUCGAGUGUGUGAGGGUCUUACUGAACUGUUUGGGGGAGAAGUUGUGCAUGUGUUGAAACGUGUUUCCCUUGGCCCGGAAGAAGUUUGCUCCUUUGUGAUUGGUGAUGCUUGUGGCGAUGUCUAUAAUCCAUUCCAUGAAUGGAAAGUGAUAUUUCCUCCAGUGCCCAAACCAGAAGUUCCUGAACCUAAAGUGCCUACAGAAGGAGCACCAUCAUUCAAAGUCCUUCAUUUGUCAGAUACUCAUUAUGACCCUUAUUAUCAAGAAGGAACAAAUGCAGAUUGCAAUGAACCACUUUGCUGUAGAUUGACUAACGGUCCUGCACUGUCCCCCCAAGCAGCAGCUGGUCGCUGGGGAGAUUACAGGAAAUGUGAUACACCGAAAAGGACUGUAGACCACAUGCUUCAACAUAUAGCAAGCACACAUCCCGACAUAGAUUACAUAAUUUGGACAGGUGAUCUCCCUCCUCAUGAUGUGUGGAAUCAAACAAGGGAAGAAAAUCUCUUCAUUCUGAAGGAAACUGUUGCUCAGAUGGCCCAGCUUUUCCCUGGAAUACCAAUAUUUCCUGCUUUGGGCAAUCAUGAAGCUGCCCCAGUCAACAGUUUUCCUCCACCAUUUGUUCAGAAUGACUAUUCUAUAAAUUGGCUGUAUGAUGAACUUGAUGCUCAGUGGCGGCAAUGGUUGCCAUCAAGUGUGUCUCGCACUGUGAGGAGAGGAGCGUUUUACAGUGUCCUUGUUCGACCUGGAUUUAGGGUCAUCUCAUUAAACAUGAACUACUGUAAUAAUAAAAAUUGGUGGCUUUUAUUAAACAGCACUGACCCAGCAAAGGAAUUACAGUGGUUUAUUUAUGAGCUCCAAAGUGCUGAGUUCAAUGAAGAGAAAGUACAUGUAAUUGGUCAUAUCCCUCCAGGACAUUCAGACUGUCUCAAAGUUUGGAGUAGAAACUUUUAUCGCAUUGUGAAUAGAUAUGAAAGUACAAUAGUCUCUCUCUUUUUUGGACACACCCAUUAUGACGAAUUUGAGCUGUUUUAUGACACUGAAGAUCUUGGAAGAGCAGUCAGUAUUGCAUACAUAGGACCAUCUGUUACACCCUAUUAUGAUCUCAACCCAGGGUACAGAAUUUACUAUGUUGAUGGAGAUCAUAAAGACACGACGAGGGCUGUAAUAGACCAUGAAACAUGGGUAAUGAACCUUAAGGAAGCCAACGCGUAUGAUUAUCCAAUUUGGUACAAGUUGUACUCAGCAAGAGCUGCAUACCAAUUGCCUUCUCUUCUGCCGCAAGAGUGGGAUACCCUUAUAAAUAAAAUUGCUCAAGAUGGACCUCUAUUUGAUAAUUAUUACAAGCACUAUUGGAAAAGUUCACCUAGGCGACCACCUUGUGAUGGUGAAUGUAAAAAGAGGAUGGUUUGUGACUUGAGAUCAGGAAAAUCUCAUGACCGGAAAGUACUAUGUCAAGAAAUCGAGAGUCGUAUUGAUGCAAAUACAAGAACAGGAUGGCGAGCUUGGAUCUAUAAUGGCUUGGCACUUUCGUAUGUUCCAUUUUUUUGGAUUGGGCAUGCUAUUCGAAAAGCUUUAAUUAUUGUCACUUACUGGUGGUCUUAACUAGAAAAAUAACCAUUUGUACUAUGGUAUAUUCCAUCUUUGAGACUGCAAAACAUCUUUCUUUUGCUUCAAGUUAAAAAUGAGACCCGAUUCUAGGACAAGCUGUUCAUUGAUGGGCCCAAUUAAUUUACGUUGCAGAUAGAUGCUAUUUAGUAACACCUUAAUUCGUAGCCUCUAAGGACACAAUUUUGUUUUACAUCAACUAAUAUUUAAUGGUGAUGGUGCACACGCACAACUGGUGUUGGUUUCUGUUUGUCACUGAUGGUGGUGAUGGAUUUUCUCAUCAAACUAUGUUGCCCAUCGCCCCUUUGGAUGUCAAUGAUCAUGGCAAUCCCAUCCUUCACUUACCAAAUACCAAAAUAUGUGUUUGGUCUAGGAUAAAUGCCUUUCAUCCCAUUUGAAAAGCUAGGAAAAAAUACAUUUGCCAUUCCAUUGUGUUUGAAUCUGCGCAUGAUUAUUGGAAUGGUUUGUGCAAGAACAAUGAGAGGCAUUUAAAUUGAGAGAAACAACAAGAGAAACAAUUUCAUGCAGACAGAAAAAGUGCUUCAAGAUUUGUAACACUUUCAGUAGGUUGUGUUACUUAGUGUACAUUAAUGAACAUGCUGCAUGUGCCAUGUCAUGCACGGUUGUGCCACAUAUAUCUCAUUUGAAGACCCUGCUAGAAGAAGCUUCUUUCAUGAAGAAAGAUACAACAACAAUUUGUGUUUUCCCUGACAACACUAGCCUUGGAACCGGGAACUCAAGUGUGAACAUGGGCUGUGAUGAUUCAUACAUUCUGUGUAUUGUUUUAAACAACAUGCCUGCAGAAUCUAACUUUUAACUGGUCUUGAUGAUAUAGGCAGUCUCAAUACCUGGAAAAUCUGCCCCAAAAAUUGUGCAAAAAUAAUGAUAAUAAUCUUGACUAGAUUGGAUAAUAAAACUUCCACUUGGCAAGUAAAUGUCUCUCUAUUUUUCAGCAAAAUUGCUCAAUCAAAAUCUGUAAAUAUUGUUAAUACCUUCUCUUAUGAAAGACCUGUGAAUUUAAUUUUUAAUUAAAAUCAAUUGUUGAUGUUGGUUUUGGAUAGUUAUUGUAGUUCUUGUCAGUCAAUGCAAAGAGAGGAAGAUAAUCAUAAGAAAAUGGAAUGUGUACACGCUAUGCUUUGUAUUACGAUUUGUACUUUUCUGUACAUGUGUAUAGAUGUAAUCAGGGAGACUUAAAUUCUUGCCACUGACAAUGCGAGUGUAUUGAGCGCCAUGGAGGGCUCAUUUGUCUUCCACAUCUUUUUUCUUCAGGGAAAUAUAACUAUAAUGUUAGCAGAUUGAGCCAAGCCCAUGAAUUAGGGGUGGAGCAAAAGCACAUGUUCUGGACAAAUAUUUGUUACUCUCGCUCCUCAGUUCUUCAUUUUCUGUCUUUGCUCUUGUAGUUGCAAUUCUAUUGUCACUAAAUUUAAACGCAAACCUCAAGGAGCAUAAAGGACUUAGUUACUCGGCGUAAGCUUAAGAUG